rnacentral:lncRNA from 1 species
UUCAUUUUUGGGUGACUAUGUUCAUCUUCUUCUUUGUAUGCAACAUCUUGUCGGACAGAUUCUCGAGUAGUUGAGUGCAUUUUUGAGUGAGUUUUUGUGAUUCUAUUUGGGCGAAGAGUUUGAGAGUCUUGUAAUUAGGUUUGAUGGUCCAUUAUAGUAACUUCACUAGGUCGUUUGGGUUUAGGAAUCUUGUGGCCACCGUGAUACAGAAGGGUACAAUAAAUUCUAUGCCCGGUUCUCAUGAUAUCUAAUGCCUUUGGUGAUCUAUUUUCGAUUGUAAGAUUUGGUCGGAUUUGUAAGCUUGUGAUCGUGUAAUCUGUAUUAUUUGUAUUAUAGUUUAUAUUUACUUCAAUAAUCAAAGCAACUAAUUUACAACCAAGCUAGUUAAUUGAGAACUAGCAAUUUUAUUUUAUUUUAUUUACACUAUUUAUAAAACAAGACGAUGGUGCGAAUUAGAGUAGAAACAAUUUCAUUUCUCCAGCCAGCCACCAAUAGGCUCCAUAAACUAAUAAUGCUAUUCAUCAUUAUUGGUGUUAAACACCAGUUCACAUGACAAUUACAUGAUAUUAAAUGAUAUAUUCAUUUAAAUAAAACCCAAAUCAACACCACCAAUGAAAUGACCCAAGAACUCUACUAAAUUUCCACCUACGAUUGCUAGAUGUUAUCUCACUUACAAACCAUUACAAAGGAGAGACAAAACCACCAAGAAAGUCACCACAAAGUGACGGUGGAAAGAGGCAGAGGGAACUGGCAAAGAGAAAACACCAAGAGAGCUCAAGAAGGAGACAAGUCUUGUAGAGGUCAUGUAUAUCACAAGAAUAUAUAGGUAGACCAUUGCCCAAUAAGGUAAGUCCAUUAGGUUUAUUUAAUGGGUCAUAGGCCCAAUAGAAAUUAAAAUGGUUUAUAGAAUGAGCCUCUAGUAAUGCUAGCCAGCCAAGUAGGUGAAUAAUUGGCCAUGAGCAACACAACCUAAUUGGUUGUUUCAAAUUAUCUAAUUACUUUUGGGUCGAGUAAUUC